GACCUAAAGCGGAAGUGGAGUUUCAGGGCUGCCUUUGGGAAGUGCACGGAGUGGGUGGCGUGGAAAGAGGCUUGUUUUAAAGGCUUAAAAAGAAAAUAAAAAGCAAUAGAAAAAAACACACAAAACGAACCGACAAGUCAAAAUUUUUCUUGUCACUCACCUCCUAAGAGUUUCCAUCCUCCCAACCCCAUAUUUCAGUGUUAAGAAAAAGAGAGGAAGGGCCAGGGAUUUAGCUCAGUAGUUCUGCCUCCUGCCUCGCAAGCACAACGUCCCGAGUUCGAUCCCUGAUACCCCCCAAAAAAAGAGAGAGAGAGAGGAGCUAGGGGAAGAGGGAACAGAAGACUUGAGCUUUGAAAAUGCCAAAUGCCAUUUAAAAGUGCUUUGCCCCAAACAAGAUCUAAGUCCAAGAAAAAUUCUUUUAAUCUGAAAUUUUUAAUUAUUUUAAUGUUAAAAACAUUACAUAAAUCUUAUGUAUAGGUAGAAAUAGUGUAUAUAAUCUGCCCUAAAAUGAUUGUAUGCCCAAUUCUUAUUUAUAGUUCUUUAUUAAUAAGAUUUGUAGUGAAGAAUAGAUUGAUAAUACAUCUCACCUGUUGUUUAAUCUCCUGGUGCUAAAGAAACAACUUGUUUUUAUUAUUGAUUCCCUUUGUUAUUAGAGUCGUUAUCAACUCGAGUAUCUGGCCUAGUUUGAGAAACAAAACGCCCUCUAUUGGUGAGCUACUCCACCGGUCUUGCCACUAGUGAAGGACAAUUAGCAAAAGGAAUGGAACUGUGGCUUUUGAGGAGGAGGUUGAACAGUACUUCCUAUCUCAGGCCCCUCCCCGUGUGCCCCUAUUUUAAACUAGAUCCUGAAAUGCCUUCAAAAGAUCAUCUACUCUUGCUUCCUGACAAGCAAGUAAGAUAGGUCCCUGUUUUACAGAUGAGCCAGCUUUGGCCUAAAAAUGUAGGCCAUACAGUCAGUAAUUUCGUAUGCUUGCUAAGUAGACAGUGUGGUCAUCUCCCAAAGGUUUGUGGAUGGCCUUUGGAGGUGAAGAGAUAACUGAGGACAUUAAUGGGUUUUCUAACCUAUGUUUGUGAAAAAUGGGAGAAUGGCCCUGAUGUCCCUGAAUCCUGCAAGGCCUCUUGACUGAGUUACCAAUAGCAGAUCUCAGACCUUCAUGAGACCCUCACUUAGGAAUUCAGCACAGGAGUUCCUCUUAUGUUCUAAUCUGCUUGGUAGAUAGAAAGGGAAUACUGCCUCCACCACCCACUUUUUGCUUCCUCUACUUUCAUUUCUUUCUUUUUUCAGUACUGGGGAUUGAACCCAGGGCUUUCUGACUGAACUAUAUCCCCAGACCUUUUCUUUUGUAUUUUGAAACAGAGUCUCCACAACUUGCUAAAUUCCAAAGGGUGGGCUGGAACAUGUGACCCUCCUGCCUUGGCUUCCCAGAAUGCUAGAAUUACAGAUGUUAGCUACUGCACCCAGCCAUACUGCCCCUUACAGUGAAGUUUCUCCAGCAACUGUAAGAUUAACUUUCUUGGCAGAUAAAUAUUAUACCUUACCUUGUUAAUUUGGUCUAUAUAUUUUCUUAUUGAAUAUAGACAAGAAAAUUCUGUCAUGGUGACCAAAAAUGGUAGCAACUUUCAUCAUAAAAAUACUGUAGCACCUUUUCUCAAGAGGCCAGCUCCGGAGUUAACCUGCUUGGAUUCAGAACUGGCUGCACUUCUAACUGUAUGUAACUUGGACUGUCGAGUUUUGGAAGGUAAGAGCUGAGAAUACUUUCUUUAGGACCUGUCAGGUUAGUUUGUUUUUCCUCUACGAUUUUAAAUCUGAUGCCCUGUCAUAUUAAAAAAGCAGAAUAGGCAGAAGUGAUUUUCUUUUUAUCUCCUGUCAAAAAUGGGUUUUUUUCCAAGUUAAUUUAAUUCCUUUAAUUCAAAUAUGUUUGAAUUCAUUUUAUGCCCUUUAAGUGAAACAUUUUAAGCACUUGCCCAACCUCCCUAUUAACUGUCCAAAAUGUUUCUAGAUUCCUUUAAAGCAAAUGUCUCUCUAUAAACAAAAAGUAGUAAGUUCAAAGGUGGUUGCAUUUGCUUUACAGGUUUCCCUGAUCCUAGCUGGACCCUGUCAUCAUGUGAAGUCUGAGCAAACUUCCUGUGUCUGGGAGUGCAUCAGAAGUGAAACUUGUGCUUCAUACUAAGAAAUCUCUUGAGAAUGGCUGGGUCUUGGCUCUUUGAUCUCACCUCUACCUCAUGGAAAGAGAAGAGCUUCUAAAAAAUGUGUUAGGUGGAUGAAUCACACCAAUACCUCCCAGAAGCCACCUGGUCACUUCACUGACUUAGUCAGAUGUCACAGUCACAUAACCCUAUGGGGAUCGGGCAAGUGUCCACCUCUUAAAACCCUUUAUCCACAACUUUAAUCACCUUUGAUAUUCAUUACAUUUGACUUGCUGCUCUUACUCUUUUUGGACAUAACCAAUGCUUGAUGCUAAGACACGAUGUGGCUGUUUACUUCAAAAAGGAAGGGAAAAAGGAAAAGGCUUUCUUUAAAAUUUCAUUUUGAGGGCCAGGGAUUUAGCUCAGUGGUUCCACCGCCUGCCUCACAAGCACAAAGUCCCGAGUUCGAUCCCUGGUACCAAAAAGAUUUUCAUUGUGAAACAAGGUCUCUGGUUAGUUGCCUAGACUGGGCUUGAACCUGCAGUCCUCCUCUUGAGUAGCUGAGAUUGCAGGCAUAUGCCACUGUGCCUGCCAAAGGAUAUUAAAAAAAAGUUUACUUAUGCAGAAAAUUUUGAGGAAAUAUUAAUUUGUAAGGAAAAAAGCAGGAUAAAAGUAUCCAGAAGCUCUUGACCCCGAAUCUGUUAAUGUUUGGUAAGUUUUCAGUAUGGCUUUAUUCUAUUUUUAUUGUG
ensembl:lncRNA